UAUAUUUUAUAAAAAACUAUUUAAAUUAUUUUAAUUGUAAAAAAACAAUUUUAAAAAAGAAAGACGAUAAGACCCUAUCGAACUUUACUUUAGUUAAACUGGGGCAGUUAAUUAAUUAAUAUUUUAAUUUAAUUAAAUUUUCAAUUUGACCUAAUAUAAUUAAUAAAAUAAUUAAGUUACCGUAGGGAUAACAGCGUAAUAAAUUUUUUAAGAUCUUAUUUAAAAAAAAGAUUGCGACCUCGAUGUUGAUUUAAUUUCCUAAUUUACGCAAUAGUUAAUUAAGGAAGUCUGUUCGACUUUUAAAAAAUUACAUGAUUUGAGUUCAGACCGGUGUAAACCA
rnacentral:rRNA from 2 species